rnacentral:rRNA from 1 species
UACGGGAGGCAGCAGUGGGAAUCGUUGGACAAGUGGCGCAAGCCUGAUCCAGCCAUGCCGCGUGAGUGAUGAAGGCCCUAGGGUCGUAAAGCUCUUUCGCCAGAGAUGAUAAUGACAGUAUCUGGUAAACGAAACCCCGGCUAAACUCCGUGCCAGCAGCCGCGGUAAUACGGAGGGGUUAGCGUUGUUCGGAAUUACUGGGCGUAAAGCGUACGUAGGCGGAUUAGUUAGUCAGAGGUGAAAUCCCAGGGCUCAACCCUGGAACUGCCUUUGAUACUGCUAGUCUUGAGUUCGAGAGAGGUGAGUGGAAUUCCGAGUGUAGAGGUAGAAAUUCGUAGAUAUUCGGAGGAACACCAGUGGCGAAGGCGGCUCACUGGCUCGAUACUGACGCUGAGGUAACGAAAGUGUGGGGAGCAAACAGGAUUAGAUACCCUGGUAG